rnacentral:rRNA from 1 species
AUGCCCAUCGCAAUGCCUUGCAUGCCGGCCCCGGCACUAGCCCUGGCGCUGCUCGGUGCUUUCGGCCUCGCCAUCGCCCCGGUUGUUCAUUCGGCCCCCACCAUCGAGGCCAUCCAAUAUACAUGCGCCAAGACAAUACAGCCAGACUCUUGCAAACACGUCCUGCUCGCCAACACGGCCGCCGGCUCACCGGAGGUGAACAGCGUCCCCCUAAUGUCCCUGCAAGUCGCGGCAAAGCUCGCCAAGAUGGCCAACGGAUUCGCCAAUGCCAGGCUCACCACGAACCCGCACCCCGCCAAAUGCCUCCAAAACUGCAUCGACGACCUUCAUAGAGUGGCCAAGGCAUUUGAGGGGCUCCCAGUGGAGGCGGUUAAGCCUGGCGACGAGGCGGGGGUGCUGUCCUUCAGCUCGGAGUUCAGGCCGACAUGCGGGGACGACUGCCCGAAGCCAAUCCCCGAGAGGACCGAGGACGAACGGGCCACGCGCGACAAGUUUGUGGGUGUCAUGAGAGCGAUCGGCGUCAUGCAGGACCUUUUCAUAACCAAGACUUGGUAA